AGGGCAGCUGGUGGAAUUUUUGAAGAAAAUGGAAUCUCGAGGUCCCCUGUCGUGUGACACGGUUCUGAAGAUCUUCUACCAGACAUGCCGUGCCGUGCAGCACAUGCACCGGCAGAAGCCGCCCAUCAUCCACAGGGACCUCAAGGUUGAGAACUUGUUGCUUAGUAACCAAGGGACCAUUAAGCUGUGUGACUUUGGCAGUGCCACGACCAUCUCGCACUACCCUGACUACAGCUGGAGUGCCCAGAGGCGAGCCCUGGUGGAGGAAGAGGUGAGCUGAGUGGGGCCUAUGCUGGGGGAAGCUGGCCCUUCCCACAUUCCGCGCCCU
rnacentral:sRNA from 1 species